CCUACGGGGGGCAGCAGUGGGGAAUAUUGCACAAUGGGCGCAAGCCUGAUGCAGCCAUGCCGCGUGUAUGAAGAAGGCCUUCGGGUUGUAAAGUACUUUCAGCGGGGAGGAAGGCGAUAAGGUUAAUAACCUUGUCGAUUGACGUUACCCGCAGAAGAAGCACCGGCUAACUCCGUGCCAGCAGCCGCGGUAAUACGGAGGGUGCAAGCGUUAAUCGGAAUUACUGGGCGUAAAGCGCACGCAGGCGGUCUGUCAAGUCGGAUGUGAAAUCCCCGGGCUCAACCUGGGAACUGCAUUCGAAACUGGCAGGCUAGAGUCUUGUAGAGGGGGGUAGAAUUCCAGGUGUAGCGGUGAAAUGCGUAGAGAUCUGGAGGAAUACCGGUGGCGAAGGCGGCCCCCUGGACAAAGACUGACGCUCAGGUGCGAAAGCGUGGGG
rnacentral:rRNA from 1 species